ensembl:lncRNA novel transcript
GGUGAGGCUCCGACCCCGGACAGCAAAUGCCCCAGACCAGGUGUGGCUCCAACCCCAGACAGCGAAUGUCCCAGACCAGGAGGGGCUCUGACCCAGGACAGCGAAUGCCCCAGACCAGGUGUGGCUCCAACCCUGGAAUCAAUCCCAGACAGUGAAUGUCCCAGGCUCCACGACAGCACCGAGCACCCUGGGACUCCGGCAAUCAGGCGGCUGGGACACCUCACAGAAGGGGGACAGCCAUGACGGAAGGGGGAGGCGCCCACCUGCAGCUUCAGGUCAUGACACGGCACAGAGUGGCAAGGGCCAGGGAAGGCCCUGAGGAUGAGAAUGGGCCUGGACGCUCCCUGAACCAGGGUGGGGCAGGGUAGGGAAGGGGGCGCAGAGUCACACAGGCAGUGGGGACAACAGCAGGGCCCAGGCAGCUCAAGGGGCAUGUCGGGUGGGAGGCAGGGACAUGGCGGGUGGGCCACAGGGGAGGGAAGGACAUGGUGGGUGGGCCACGGGGGAGGGAAGGACACGGUGGGCGGGCCGUGGAGGAGGAGGGACACGGCGGGCGGGCCACGGGGGAGGAAGGAUUCUGAGGAGGAGCAGACGGUGCUGGUGGCUGAAGCAGGAGGAUCACUUGAGCCCAGGAGUUUCAGACCAGCCUGAGCCACACAGGGAGACCC